UGCGUGUGAGAGAGAGGUGUGUGUGCGCACGUGUGUGAGAGAGAGGUGUGUGUGUGUGUGUGUGCGCGUGUGUGUUUGAGAGAGGUGUGUGUGAGCGCGCGUGUGAGAGAGAGGUGUGUGUGUGCGCGUGUGUGUGUGAGAGAGAGAGGUGUGUGUGCUGGUGUGA